rnacentral:rRNA from 1 species
CUACGUGCCAGCAGCCGCGGUAAUACGGAAGGUUCGGGCGUUAUCCGGAUUUAUUGGGUUUAGAGGGAGCGUAGGCCGGAGAUUAAGUGUGUUGUGAAAUGUAGACGCUCAACGUCUGACUUGCAGCGCAUACUGGUUUCCUUGAGUACGCACAACGUUGGCGGAAUUCGUCGUGUAGCGGUGAAAUGCUUAGAUAUGACGAAGAACUCCGAUUGCGAAGGCAGCUGACGGGAGCGCAACUGACGCUGAAGCUCGAAGGUGCGGGUAUCGAACAGGAUUAGACACCCUGGUAGUCCGCACAGUAAACGAUGGAUGCCCGCUGUUGGUACCUAGUAUCAGCGGCUAAGCGAAAGCAUUAAGCAUCCCACCUGGGGAGUACGCCGGCAACGGUGAAACUCAAAGGAAUUGACGGGGGCCCGCACAAGCGGAGGAACAUGUGGUUUAAUUCGAUGAUACGCGAGGAACCUUACCCGGGCUUGAAUUGCAGAGGAAGGAUUUAGAGAUA